CCGACGCCACUCUGCUGGCUGCCGACCUAGGGUCGGCUGACUCCUCCAACCGCCGUACGGCCGCCAGACGUUGUCAGCUCUGACACGGACAUGCGGCACAGUUACCUAGGGGCAUUGUCCCGUCGAGAGCCGGGUCAACCCUGGUGAUUAGACGGCCACACGGUGACAUGACGCUUUCACGGCGGCUCUGACAGCCCACAGUGAGUUGACAGUUCCUCACUUGUCCGCGCCAUUAAUGACGGCGCCAUACCUAGCUC
rnacentral:lncRNA from 1 species